ACAACCACUUGCUAAGGGAUCAAGUUCAUUUUUGGAUAAUUUGUCUACAUCACAACUCACGGCCUCUAUUAAUGAAAAAAUGUUUGAUACUUCUCCUGAUGCUAUCAACUGUAUUUCUAAUGUAUCAAGUAGUCAAAUGGUUUUGCAACGGAACAUCACUAGGGAGGUGGAACCUGUCACUGAUCAAUCAAUUUCCUUUGGAGAUAUGGCUCUAUCAAAGUCAUUAUCAUUUUCAAUGGAGGAAAGUGAAGGAAAUCCCACCAUGACUAAGUUACAACGUCCAACUUCAGUUUAUGAUACAGAACUUAGGACCAACCCAGAGGAUGAGAGCAUUUCCAAUGCUUCAAUAACUCUGACGAAUUUGCAAGACAAUAUUAUCAGUGAGGAUCGACUUGCAUCCAAG
rnacentral:misc_RNA from 1 species